AACGAACGCUGGCGGCAUGCCUAACACAUGCAAGUCGAACGAACCCUUCGGGGUUAGUGGCGCACGGGUGCGUAACGCCUGGGAAUCUGCCCUUUGCUUCGGAAUAACUCAGGGAAACUUGUGCUAAUACCGGAUGAUGUCUUCGGACCAAAGAUCUAUCGGCAAGGGAUGAGACCGCGUAGGAUUAGGUAGUUGGUGGGGUAAAGGCCUACUAAGCCGACGAUUCUUAGCUGGUCUGGGAGGAUGAUCAGCCACAUUGGGACUGAGACACGGCCCACACUCGUCCGGGAGGCUGCGGUGAGGAAUAUUGGGGGAUGGGCGCAAGCCUGCUCCAGCAAUGCCGCGUGAGUGAUGAAUCCCCUCGGGGCGUAAAGCUCUUUUACCAGGGAUGAUAAUGACAGUACCUGGCGAAUAAGCCCCGGCUAACUCCGUG
rnacentral:rRNA from 1 species